AUGAAGGCGUACAUAGCUGCCGAGGACAAGCUUCUUUGUGCGUGUUGGCGAGACAUUGGACAAGACCCAAAGACGGGCGCCGAGCAAAAGCAUUCGACCUUUUGGACUCGUGUGCACCGCGAGUUUCAUGAGCGCAAGAAGUUUCCACCUUACCAAUUUGUGAGCACGCGCGGGUGGGUCUCCAUUUCCAAGCGGUGGAGGGUGAUCCAACAAGAGUGCAACAAUUUUUGCGCCACCCUUGAGAGUGUCAAGGCCCGCCCCGUGAGCGGCAUCGGCAUACAAGACAUGGUAUGA
rnacentral:rRNA from 1 species